UGGACUCGUCGUCGCUUCCUCGCCCCUUUCGACCCCCUGCUUCAACACCUCUGUGUUCUCCAAGCAGUCUGUUUGGUCGAUGGAAAGACAGACUACAACUCCCAUGCAUGGCCUCUGCCAUCACAUUGUAGGGUUUGCACCGAUACUGUUCUCCUUAGCUUCCUUGGUAGCAACAUUCGCUUACUCGGCCUUGUCCUCUAACUUGCCGGGCUCCCUUAAGCAAAUAUGAGCUCUGGAGCAGUCCAACUCUCCAGCUACUUCGAUCAUACCUCUGCAUGAUCAAGUCCCUCCCAUGGAACUCACUAGUACUUGCAUUCGAACUUUUCCCUUAGUGGAACACAGCCCCCAUAUGCUGAUGACCAAGGUUUUCAUCCGAUGCAAAAUUCGAUGCACGCACGGAAGACCCACCUCUGCGGUACCAUGGCCUUCACUCCUUGAAUCCAUAGCCCUUCUUGUCGUCGCGUUGUUCACCGAAGUGGAGCUUCCAGUAGCUCUCAAUUAUACCUCCAUAUGAUCUAGUCCCUCACGGGACUAUGUCGUGUGUAUCGCAUUGCCACGAACUGUUCCACCACGAUCCGCUGCACCAUGUCGCCUCCUGGUGACAUCUCCAUUGCAUUCUAAUCCUUGUGGAAUAAACUUGAAUUGUGAACCCUCCAUGUGUGGCCUCUGCCAAUACAUUGUAGGGUCUCUUCCACCUUCGAUUUUGUUCGCUCCUUUGGCAAUCGACCUUCAUCCACCCACUCUUGGGUCACACUUAGAUGAAGCACCGCUCUAGGACAGUCCGUCGCCUAGUAGCUCCCAAAGUCCACUGACUUCACU
rnacentral:lncRNA from 1 species